AACGUACUCAACGGAUUCAACCUGCUGUGAACAGGAGAACAGGACCUACAUACACCCCAAAGGCUCUUUUCAGAGCCAUUUGACCAAGCAUCUUUGUACAUGCCGGUUUUCCUUCAGUAGUGCCAGUUUUCCUAAGAUUUUACCUCGUCCUCCACUGCCUCCAGUAAUUCCUGGUUUUAAGGUGGAGUAAUGGAGUAAAGAUGCAACGGAGCAGCUGAUAAGAAAACAUGCUUAAGACCAUCUUAAACGUGCACCAUCAAGAAAGGGAGGGGUACACAAUAAACAUUUUUUUUUAACAUUACUUUUUGAAUAGAUGCACUUUUUAAAUUUUUUUUAAAGUAUAUAUAUUGUUAUUUAUGUUGUUUUUAAAUGUUAUAAUUGUAUUGUUUUUAUUUGUUGUAUUUAGCUUUUAUGCAUUUGUACACACACAAACACACAACCACAUUUAUACAAAAUAAGUUUUGAAUAAAUACGUUUAAUGGAGUGCAAAGUGUGAGUCUUUAUUUAGCUAAAUGAUGUCUAAAAUGAGUCUGCAGUUGACGUUAUAAGACGUUGAAAAUAUGUCCACAAUGACCACAUUUCAACUAAAUUUGGACCUUAAAAAGACGUCCUAUGGAUGUCAUUAUUGGACGUCCAAAAGACGUCAGAAAAAGACGUCGGAAAACCUUUCAUUCUGCACCCUGAUGGGGACGUCUUUUCAACGUCUUUAUUGGACGUCCAAAAGACGUCAGAAAAAGACGUCGGAAAACCUUUCAUUCUGCACCCUGAUGGGGACGUCUUUUCAACGUCCGACAAAGAUGUUGAAAAGACGUCUUUUGGACAUACUUUUGCUCAG